CACGUAGGGCGCAAGCGUUGUCCGGAAUUAUUGGGCGUAAAGAGCUCGUAGGCGGUCUGUUACGUCUGCUGUGAAAACCCGGGGCUUAACCCUGGGCUUGCAGUGGAUACGGGCAGACUAGAGGCAGGUAGGGGAUAAUGGAAUUCCCGGUGUAGCGGUGAAAUGCGCAGAUAUCGGGAGGAACACCGGUGGCGAAGGCGGUUCUCUGGGCCUGACCUGACGCUGAGGAGCGAAAGCGUGGGGAGCGAACAGG
rnacentral:rRNA from 1 species